CGGUAGGUGCGAGCGUUGUCCGGAAUUAUUGGGCGUAAAGAGCUCGUAGGCGGUGUGUCGCGUCGGCCGUGAAAACCUGCAGCUUAACUGUGGGCUUGCGGUCGAUACGGGCAUCACUGGAGUUCGGCAGGGGAGACUGGAAUUCCUGGUGUAGCGGUGAAAUGCGCAGAUAUCAGGAGGAACACCGGUGGCGAAGGCGGGUCUCUGGGCCGAUACUGACGCUGAGGAGCGAAAGCGUGGGGAGCGAACAGG
rnacentral:rRNA from 1 species